rnacentral:rRNA from 1 species
UUUAAAGUCUAAUCUGCCCCAUGAGGAAUUAAAUGGCCGCGGUAUUUUGACCGUGCAAAGGUAGCAUAAUAAUUAGUUUUUUAAUUGAAAGCUGGAAUGAAUGAUUGGACGAGAAAAUAGCUGUCUCGAUUUAAUUUAAUUAGAAUUUUAUUUUUAAGUAAAAAAGCUUAAAUAGUAUUAAAAGACGAGAAGACCCUAUAGAGUUUUAUAGUUAAUUAUCUAUUAAUUUUUUAGAAUUAUUUUAUUAGUAGAUAAUUAAUUAUUUUAUUGGGGUGAUAGAAAAAUUGAAUAAACUUUUUUUAAUUUUUAUACAUUAAUUUAUGAUUUUAUGAUCCAUUAUUUAUGAUUAGAAGAUUAAGUUACCUUAGGGAUAACAGCGUAAUUUUUUUUAAGAGUUCCUAUCGAAAAAAAAGAUUGCGACCUCGAUGUUGGAUUAAAAUUAAUUUAAGGUGUAGAAGCUUUAUUGUUAGGUCUGUUCGACCUUUAAAAUUUUACAUGAUCUGAGUUUAAACCGGCGUGAGCCAGGUUGGUUUCUAUCUUUAAUUUAUUAAAAUAUUUUAGUACGAAAGGACCAAAUAUUUGUAAAAAUUAUUUAUUUUUGAAUAAUAUUAG